rnacentral:rRNA from 1 species
CACGUAGGCGGAUAUUUAAGUCAGGGAUGAAAUCCCAGAGCUCAACUCUGGAACUGCCUUUGAUACUGGGUAUCUUGAGUAUGGAAGAGGUAAGUGGAAUUCCGAGUGUAGAGGUGAAAUUCGUAGAUAUUCGGAGGAACACCAGUGGCGAAGGCGGCUUACUGGUCCAUUACUGACGCUGAGGUGCGAAAGCGUGGGGAGCAAACA